AUUAAUUCUUCUCCAGGCCUAUACAGGAACCUCCAGACGAUAUUAUGCAAGACAUAAAUUGGAGGCAUUGGCUCGAUAUCAAAGCCACCGACG